UCUCAUGCAAAAAUUGAAGAUAAAAAGCCAAGGGUAUAUUGUGUCUGUUCUGAUGUUGUUUUAGUAUUGGAUACUGUUUGAAAGCUGAACCUUUAUUUUGUUCUUCAGUUCUAAAUUUAUUAUCCAUUAAUGUUAUUAUAAGCUGUGGUUAACUGGUCAUUAUAUGCAUGGCGCCAUAUGUACAUUGAUAGAACCAUGGCUUAUUUUAUUGGAGUAAUCUUAGGUCUCCCAACUUGGGAUAUAUCAUAAAGAUAGUUUUUUUACUGCUGACUAGCCUAGAAAACCUAACUAUAAUUUCAUGAGAAGGGUAAUAUGAUCACGCUGAGAGUGAAUAAACAUCAUGAACCAUGUGUGAUACGCACUAUCAACUAUAGUUUAAUGGAACAUAAUAUAAACAAACCCUAUAUUGCAAUGAAUAAAAAAUGAUAUCCAAACUAGGUAAAAUCAUAAAGUAAAAGAGUUCUUCUGCUUCCAAGCUUCAAAAGUGCAAACACCUGACACCUGAUAAGAUCGACUCUUAAAAUAGGAUAAUUGCAGUGCCCUUUGCACAAUGAUAUUUGCAUGUAAAUUUUAGGCAAGUCUCAGUUCUGUUAGCUAUCAUAAGCAUAUGUUGUGUAGAGAAUAGUUGGAUGCUCUCUGAUGCGGGAAUGCUUAGAUAUGGCUAAUAGUUAUGGUCUUAUUGAUCCAUAGCAUGGUUAGAAAAUACUCCGUUUCAAAAUAUAAGGUGUAUUAGUUUUUUUUAAAGUCAAACAUAUGCAUGUUUGAAGUUUUUAGGAAAAAUAUAUCAAUAUCUACGGUACCAAAUUUGUAUCAUUGGAUCCAUCAUGAGAAGUAUUUUCAUAUUUUACUUAUUUCGUAUUGUAGGUGUCGAUAUUUCAUUCUAUAAUCUUGGUCAAACACACACACAAGUUUGACUUGCACGGAAUUAGAUACACCUUAUAUUCUGGAAUGGAGGGAGUACACAACAUCAUGUGCAGGGUGUGUUAUUCAUUAGUAUCUAGUAACAAUGUCACAUGAACAAUUAUGUUUUAUUUCAAUGGCAUACUAGCUAUAAAUUAUGUCGCUUGAGGUGUGGGCAAAUGCUAUCUAUCAUGUAUAUGUCCGAGCCCUUUAUCCCAUUAUGUACUCCCUCUGUUCCAAAUUACUUGUCAUAGAAAUGGAUGUAUGUAGAACUAAUAAUACAUCUAGAUACAUUCAUAUUAGUGAUAAGUAAUUCCAGACGGAUGGAGUACCUAACUGGCUAGCACAUAUGCAAUGUGUUCUCCUUGGUUGUUUCUGUGAAAGAAGGAACACCUUGAUCUGUGCUCAUAUUCUCAUGUUUCAUGUUGCCUGCCAUCUACUGUGCACUGCAGGCCACACCUGGUGUUUGGUAGAUUGUAACAUUGUUCUGACUUUCACGACAACAAUCCAUGAUAAAGAAAAGGAUGGUCCAUAAUAGCAUACUUCUUUGAGAAAAUAGCCUUAGGGCAUUCGAGUAAAUCAUCACAGUGAAUGAUGAUUAUUUCCGCAAUUUGAACAUUUAAUUCCUGUUUCAUUAUGUAAAUGUCCAGGAGCUUAGGGACCAUCAAAGAAGAAGAAAUUUCUUGAAGUUACAAGCUGAUGCGGCAUUCGAGCAGAAGGAGUAUAAGAUUGCAUCACAGUUAUAUGAUAUGGCAAUAUGUCAUGAAGAGUGUGCAACAGUGUACUGCAACAGGAGUCUUUGUAAACUGCUCAUGGGUGAUGGUAAAGGUGCUUUGUCAGAUGCUCUCAGGUGCAGAGUGCUGCAACCUCAUUGAGCAAAAGCUUGCUGUCGUCAAGGUGCAGCUCACAUGCUACUCAAGGAGUAUGAACAAGCCUGUAAUGCUUUCUUGGAUGCACAAGAUCUGGAUCCUGGAAAUGCUGAAAUUGAGGGUGAACUAGGGAAGGCUAGGGAGCUCAUGAAGAAUCCUUCAGGCGAAGGUGACUAGUGAGGUGCGGGCGGGCGCAGGCUGGAACAUGUUCUACUUUUCACUGAAGUGGAGAUAGCGGGAACUUCUAAUCCUUGUGUCUUGAUUUGAAUUUCAUGGGAAACUGCAGACUGCUACAACGAGAUUUUGUAUGAAAUUUUCUCGUCUUGCCUGUGGAUCGUACUUGCCGUAUGCAAUUACUUUUA